AAACCUGAGAAACCCAAAAGAUCGAAUGGGGAGAUUCAUCGUCAGCGAAUUUGCAGCACGUUCGGUUCGCGAUGCCGGGGAUUUUAAUCCGUGGCACGCGUCCGAGCGUUUUCAUUGUCAAUCUCGUCGGCGUGCACUUCUCCCCUAGUAGGACGUCGCGACCCGUUGGGUGUCGGUCUACGGCCCGGGUGGUAGCCUGUCACGUGUGCGUCUCACGGCGUUACGCGGGUCAGACCCCUGGAUGCCCGACCGGCUGCCCGGCGGUACUCGCACGGUAUUUGGCCGCAAAUAUUCAAUCUGCGUCCGGCCCGUCGCAAGCGCGGCAAGUGUCUCCCGGCUGUACGGAUCUGAUGCCGUCAUCGGGCCUUGCCAGCUGUUGGUUGACGGUGUCCUAGGACUGGCUAUAAGAUACCGGUCGGCGACGCUACUGCUUUGGGUACUUUCAGGACCCGUCUUGAAACACGGACCAAGGAGUCUAACAUGUGCGCGAGUCAUUGGGAGCUAUUAAGCCUAAAGGCGCAAUGAAAGUGAAGGUCGGCCUCGCGCCGACCGAGGGAGGAUGGGUCGCGUCACGAUGCGGCCCCGCACUCCCGGGGCGUCUCGUUCUCAU
rnacentral:rRNA from 1 species